GGGGUUGUAGCUUGGUGGUAGAGCGCUUGCUUCGGCAUGCAGGAGGCCCUGGGUUUAAUCCUCAGCACCGCUA
rnacentral:tRNA from 1 species